rnacentral:rRNA from 1 species
AUGGACCGCAGCUGGGAGAGGGCCAGCCCUUCACCGAACAUAGCGACCGGACGACGAGGAGGGGGGGCCAAAGGCCGAUACAAGUCACCUACGGACGAACCAACGCCAGGACGAGCCAGCCGUCGCCGAAGCCGACUUGCCAAGCCACCAUGGAGCCAUCCACGGCCGGAGCAGCGGCCACCCCGGCCUCUGCCCAACCCGCGCCGCCCGCCGAGCUCCAAGCGUCGGAGCCGCCGGGCACGCACCCGCGCGUCGAGCCGCCAAAGGGGAGGGACGCCGCCGAAGUCCCCGAACAUGGCCGAUCCAGGUCGGAGACGGAGAUGCCCAACUCCCCGCAGGCCCCGCCGCCAUGGGGCCACCACCACGAGGCCCACCACGCCGCCGACUGAGUACCACGCCGCCCACACGGCGCCGCCGCGAGCCCCGUGCCGCCGCCACCCACCCGCCGGAGCGCCUGCGAGCCAGGCGGAACCGGGCCAGCCCCCGAAGCAGCCAGCCGCACCACCCCGCCCCGCACGCCGCCGGGCGGCCCAUGCCAUCUCGGCCGGCGUCGCCCACCGGUCGCCUGCCCGAGCACCUGCCCGAUCCAGAUCUGGGCCGAGGUGCCCACCGCCGCCGCCCGAGCUGGCACGCCCCCACCGAGCCCUCGACGAGCAGCCGCCCGCGCCGCCAACCCAGGCCGCCGCCGCCGCGCAGUCCUGGCCGCCGCCACGCCACGCCGUCCUGCAGAACGGCCCACCUCCAAGCCGAGGAUCUGCCCCGCGCCAGCCCGCCGCGAGGAGGGGGAAGAAGCCCCGCCGCCGCCGACGCUGGCCGGGCUUUGCCCGGCGGCGCGAGCCGGCGGCGGCGAGGAGGGGGGGAAGGAACGGGGGGCUGGAGGAGGCGGGAGCUAGGGUUCGCCUCGCCGCUCGCGGGAGCGGACGAGACGAACGGGUUUCCUCAAACGGUUCUCCUUCUAGUGAUGCGGCAGUUACCAAAAAAAAAGGACCCUGUAAACUGGCUAAUGUCGCCUUUCAUGCUUGCUAA